GCACUGGGGAACCUUUUGGGCCAUUCUCAACUGAUGCUUCUUUUCUUCCAGGGAAAGGGCCCUCUGGCCCGCACAGCAUGGAUAUGGGCAGAACGGUUUUUCCUAACUAGGCCUUCUGGGUUGCAGCAGAACAGCAUGUGUCUGCUUCUCAAAUGUAACAGAUUGUCUCUGGAAACUGCGAAAUCUGACCAGAAGCCCUUAGCCUCCCAGGCUCUGUAGCUUCUGCAGUGAUGAGGCCUGGCCACCAGAUGGCUCCACAGAGGCCACUGCUCUCUCAGGGAAGAGGAGGUAGGUGUUCGUCCAGGAGUUUUAAUGUGAUUUCUCUCCUUGGGAGUGAGAGCAACCACG
rnacentral:lncRNA from 1 species